CAGUAGCCGCGGUAAUACGUAGGUGGCAAGCGUUGUCCGGAAUUAUUGGGCGUAAAGGGCUCGCAGGCGGUUUCUUAAGUCUGAUGUGAAAGCCCCCGGCUCAACCGGGGAGGGUCAUUGGAAACUGGGAAACUUGAGUGCAGAGGAGGAGAGUGGAAUUCCACGUGUAGCGGUGAAAUGCGUAGAGAUGUGGAGGAACACCAGUGGCGAAGGCGACUCUCUGGUCUGUAACUGACGCUGAGGAGCGAAAGCGUGGGGAGCGAACAGGAUUAGAUACCCCGGUAGUCCCUGUCUCUUAUCC
rnacentral:rRNA from 1 species